rnacentral:pre_miRNA from 1 species
UCUUAUGCAGGAGCAAAGAAAGUGGUUUCUUGAGAUGAAAUCUACUCCCAGUGAAGAUUCUGUGAA